rnacentral:rRNA from 1 species
AGCGAACGCUGGCGGCAGGCCUAACACAUGCAAGUCGAACGAACCUUUCGGGGUUAGUGGCGGACGGGUGAGUAACACGUGGGAACGUGCCUUUAGGUUCGGAAUAACUCAGGGAAACUUGUGCUAAUACCGAAUGUGCCCUUCGGGGGAAAGAUUUAUCGCCUUUAGAGGGGCCCGCGUCUGAUUAGCUAGUUGGUUGAGGUAAUGGCUCACCAAGGCGACGAUCAGUAGCCGGUCUGAGAGGAUGAUCAGCCACAUUGGGACUGAGACACGGCCCAAACUCCUACGGGAGGCAGCAGUGGGGAAUCUUGCGCAAUGGGCGAAAGCCUGACGCAGCCAUGCCGCGUGAAUGAUGAAGGUCUUAGGAUUGUAAAAUUCUUUCACCGGGGACGAUAAUGACGGUACCCGGAGAAGAAGCCCCGGCUAACUUCGUG